GGUACUCAAGGAGAGGUUUUCCCGGGUGGAUUCGUUUUAUUUAUGACAAAUCAUUCUUGGCCGACCUCUUUUCAGUAUC
rnacentral:pre_miRNA from 1 species